UAGGUUUGCGCCCUCUGCUUUGG
rnacentral:miRNA from 1 species